rnacentral:rRNA from 1 species
UACGUAGGUGGCAAGCGUUGUCCGGAUUUACUGGGCGUAAAGCGUAUGCAGGCGGACCGUUAAGUAGGACGUGAAAGGUUGGAGCUCAACUCUAACACUGCUCCCUAUACUGGCGGUCUUGAGUGGCGGAGAGGAAGAUGGAACGACACGUGUAGCGGUGAAAUGCGUUGAUAUGCGUCGGGACACCAAUGGCGAAAGCAAUCUUCUGGACGCAAACUGACGCUGAGAUGCGAAAGCCAAGGUAGCAAACAGG